CCCUUAGAUGUUCUGGGCUGCACGCGCGCUACACUGAUGCGCUCAACGAGUUUACGACCUUGCCCGGAAGGGUUGGGUAAUCUUUUUAAAACGCAUCGUGAUGGGGAUAGAUUAUUGCAAUUAUUAAUCUUUAACGAGGAAUUCCUAGUAAGCGCGAGUCAUCAGCUCGUGCUGAUUACGUCCCUGCCCUUUGUACACACCGCCCGUCGCUCCUACCGAUUGAGUGAUCUGGUGAAUAAUUCGGACUGCAGCAGUGUUCAGUUCCUGAACGUUGCAGCGGAAAGUUUAGUGAACCUUAUCACUUAGAGGAGGAGAAGUCGUAACA
rnacentral:rRNA from 1 species